rnacentral:rRNA from 1 species
CUGAGUACGGCGGAACACGUGAAAUUCCGUCGGAAUCCGGGAGGACCAUCUCCCAAGGCUAAAUACUCCCUAGUGACCGAUAGUGAACCAGUACCGUGAGGGAAAGGUGAAAAGCACCCCGGAAGGGGAGUGAAACAGUUCCUGAAACCGUGUGCCUACAAGUAGUUAGAGCCCGUUAAUGGGUGAUAGCGUGCCUUUUGUAGAAUGAACCGGCGAGUUACGAUUUGUUGCAAGGUUAAGCGGAAAAAGCGGAGCCGUAGCGAAAGCGAGUCUGAAUAGGGCGCAUAAGUAACAGGUCGUAGACCCGAAACCAGGUGAUCUACCCAUGUCCAGGAUGAAGGUAAGGUAAUACUUACUGGAGGUCCGAACCCACGCACGUUGAAAAGUGCGGGGAUGAGGUGUGGGUAGCGGAGAAAUUCCAAUCGAACUUGGAGAUAGCUGGUUCUCUCCGAAAUAGCUUUAGGGCUAGCCUCGAGGUAAAGAGUCAUGGAGGUAGAGCACUGUUUGGACUAGGGGCCCUUCUCGGGUUACCGAAUUCAGAUAAACUCCGAAUGCCAUGUACUUAUACUCGGGAGUCAGACUGCGAGUGAUAAGAUCCGUAGUCGAAAGGGAAACAGCCCAGACCACCAGUUAAGGUCCCCAAAUAUAUGUUAAGUGGAAAAGGAUGUGGGGUUGCUUAGACAACCAGGAUGUUGGCUUAGAAGCAGCCACCAUUGAAAGAGUGCGUAAUAGCUCACUGGUCGAGUGACCCCGCGCCGAAAAUGUACCGGGGCUAAACAUAUUACCGAAACUGUGGAUGAACCUCUUUAGAGGUUCGUGGUAGGAGAGCGUUCUAAGGGCGGUGAAGUCAGACCGGAAGGACUGGUGGAGCGCUUAGAAGUGAGAAUGCCGGUAUGAGUAGCGAAAGAAGGGUGAGAAUCCCUUCCACCGAAUAUCUAAGGUUUCCUGAGGAAGGCUCGUCCGCUCAGGGUUAGUCGGGACCUAAGCCGAGGCCGAUAGGCGUAGGCGAUGGACAACAGGUAGAGAUUCCUGUACCAGUGCUAAUUGUUUAACCGAUGGGGUGACACAGAAGGAUAGGGAAUCGCACGAAUGGAAAUGUGCGUCCAAGCAGUGAGUGUGAGAAGUAGGCAAAUCCGCUUCUCGCGAAGCAUGAGCUGUGAUGGGGAAGGAAAUUAAGUACGGAAGUUCCUGAUUUCACGCUGUCAAGAAAAGCCUCUAGGAAGAGUAGUACUGCCCGUACCGCAAACCGACACAGGUAGAUGAGGAGAGAAUCCUAAGGUGAGCGAGAGAACUCUCGUUAAGGAACUCGGCAAAAUGACCCCGUAACUUCGGGAGAAGGGGUGCUCUAUUAGGGUGCAAGCCCGAGAGAGCCGCAGUGAAUAGGCCCAGGCGACUGUUUAGCAAAAACACAGGUCUCUGCAAAACCGUAAGGUGACGUAUAGGGGCUGACGCCUGCCCGGUGCUGGAAGGUUAAGAGGAGUGCUUAGCUUCGGCGAAGGUACGAAUUGAAGCCCCAGUAAACGGCGGCCGUAACUAUAACGGUCCUAAGGUAGCGAAAUUCCUUGUCGGGUAAGUUCCGACCCGCACGAAAGGCGCAACGAUCUGGGCACUGUCUCAACGAGAGACUCGGUGAAAUUAUAGUACCUGUGAAGAUGCAGGUUACCCGCGACAGGACGGAAAGACCCCGUGGAGCUUUACUGCAACCUGAUAUGGAAUGUUUGUACCGCUUGUACAGGAUAGGUAGGAGCCGAAGAGACGUGUGCGCUAGCAUACGAGGAGGCAAUGGUGGGAUACUACCCUGGCUGUAUGACCAUUCUAACCCGCCACGCUUAGCGCGUGGGGAGACAGUGUCAGGUGGGCAGUUUGACUGGGGCGGUCGCCUCCUAAAGAGUAACGGAGGCGCCCAAAGGUUCCCUCAGAAUGGAUGGAAAUCAUUCGCAGAGUGUAAAGGCACAAGGGAGCUUGACUGCGAGACUGACAAGUCGAGCAGGGACGAAAGUCGGGCUUAGUGAUCCGGUGGUUCCGCAUGGAAGGGCCAUCGCUCAACGGAUAAAAGCUACCCCGGGGAUAACAGGCUUAUCUCCCCCAAGAGUCCACAUCGACGGGGAGGUUUGGCACCUCGAUGUCGGCUCGUCGCAUCCUGGGGCUGUAGUCGGUCCCAAGGGUUGGGCUGUUCGCCCAUUAAAGCGGCACGCGAGCUGGGUUCAGAACGUCGUGAGACAGUUCGGUCCCUAUCCGUCGCGGGCGCAGGAAAUUUGAGAGGAGCUGUCCUUAGUACGAGAGGACCGGGAUGGACACACCGCUGGUGUACCAGUUGUUCCGCCAGGAGCAUCGCUGGGUAGCUAUGUGUGGCAGGGAUAAACGCUGAAAGCAUCUAAGCGUGAAGCCCCCCUCAAGAUGAGAUUUCCCAUUUCUUC